CACAAUGGAUAACUGAGUGCUGGAGAAUGUCAUCCGCUUAAACAAUACUUUGAAAUUGUUUCAGCCUGAAGACAGCUUUCUGGGUUGCUCCCUGAAAAAUCAUACCUAAGAAAAAUAAAAUCUUCUCAUUGAUCCUGCUUUCCUUUUACUUUCUAAUGUCCCAAUAUGUUGAAGCAGAAAUCAGAAUAGAUAGUAUUGACAAGAAAUGUAUCCUUUAAAAGUCAAAUUUGUCCUUUAAAUUGGCUCUUCUCAUAAAGCAGCUGUUGAAGCUUUUUCUCCAGUAACAAAGAAUCUUUGCUCAAUUCUUCACCCCUUGCCCCCGAUCUCACCUCUAUUCCCAAUAUGCAGUCCUCACCUAGACCCAUUCUUCCAGGCUGAUGCUGAGUUUAUUUACUCUGAGCAACAUUUUCAGGAAUCAACAUCAGCAGAUUACUACAAUGAAAUUUUUUUUUUAGUUUAGCCUCAAGCCUAUGAAAUUAAUUUCCAUUUUGAUAAUCACAAGACGUUGGCCCUGAAAGCCUACAAGAAAAACUUGGAAUGCUUUAGGAAAUCAUGUUUAUAAUUAAAGCACUGGCAUUUUUCUUCUCAUUACAGAAUAAAGGCUGAAUACAAUUUUUGAAACUUUACCUUUUUUUAAUUUCAAUUAAAUAUCUGUUUUUAGUUACCUAUCUCUUAUGCUCC
rnacentral:lncRNA from 1 species